rnacentral:rRNA from 1 species
UUGUGCCAGCCGCCGCGGUAAUACGAAGGGGGCUAGCGUUGCUCGGAAUCACUGGGCGUAAAGGGCGCGUAGGCGGCCAUUUAAGUCCGGGGGUGAAAGCCUGUGGCUCAACCACAGAAUUGCCUUCGAUACUGGGUGGCUUGAGUCCGGAAGAGGUUGGUGGAACUGCGAGUGUAGAGGUGAAAUUCGUAGAUAUUCGCAAGAACACCGGUGGCGAAGGCGGCCAACUGGUCCGGAACUGACGCUGAGGCGCGAAAGCGUGGGGAGCAAA